GGAGGUAGUGACGUGAAAUAACGAUGCGGGACUCUUCCGAGGCCUCGCAAUCGGAAUGAGUUAACUUUAAAUCCUUUCGACGAGGAUCGAUUGGAGGGCAAGUCUGGUGCCAGCAGCCGCGGUAAUUCCAGCUCCAAUAGCGUAUAUUAAAGUUGCUGCGGUUAAAAAGCUCGUAGUUGAAUCUCACGAUUCAACAGGAAGUGAGCGCCGUGGUGGUAGUAGCAAUUACAGUAUUGCUACUACUAAAAUUCACCUUCUCAUUCGUCUCGUUACGGUAGAAGAAGAAGGAGGAUGUCAAAAGCUCGAACAGGGUGUUAAUAAGACGGUGCGAGUUAAUGUUUCGAAAGUGGUGGUAGCGGAGGCGGUCGUCGUUGCUGCUGCUGCUGCUGCUGCUGCAGCAGCUGUUGCUGCUGCGGUGGUGGUAGCAAAAAACUACUGGACGGCCGCCGCUGCUGCUGCUUCUACUACCUCCUUCAUCGUCGACGCCUUAUUCGCAGCAUUGCCUCCUACUACUACUGCUCCUCCUUCUUCUUACCAACGAGCAAAAAAAAGAAGAUGAAGAAGAAGCCUCCGCGUCGUAAUAAUCAUCCUCCAUAAUAACAACCAUCGUCCGGCCGACCGGCGUCAGUAUUAACCAGCAGCAGUAGUUGGCGGCGGCGGCGGCGGCCCCCCCCCCCCCUUCAGAAGGAGUAGUUGAUGUUAUUAUUAUAAUAUACUACCUCUUCCACCUCGGAUGGGGCUGCUGUUGCUGCUGCUGCUGCUGCUGCUGCUGCUGGCUCUCGCGCGCUCGCUCGCGUUCGGUCGGCAACUUCACUUUGACAAAAUUAGAGUGCUCAGAGCGGGCAAGAUCUGAAGCCCGAAUGGAGGUGCAUAGAAUGAUCUAAGAUGACCUCGCGAUCUAAACGUUUGUCGGUUUAUGGGGUCGCGAGGUAAUGAUUAAA
rnacentral:rRNA from 1 species